rnacentral:rRNA from 1 species
AUACGUAGCCGAACUGAGAGGUUGAUCGGCCACAUUGGGACUGAGACACGGCCCAAACUCUACGGGAGGCAGCAGUAGGGAAUCUUCCACAAUGGACGCAAGUCUGAUGGAGCAACGCCGCGUGAGUGAAGAAGGCUUUCGGGUCGUAAAACUCUGUUGUUGGAGAAGAAUGGUCGGCAGAGUAACUGUUGUCGGCGUGACGGUAUCCAACCAGAAAGCCACGGCUAACUACGUGCCAGCAGCCGCGGUAAUACGUAGGUGGCAAGCGUUAUCCGGAUUUAUUGGGCGUAAAGCGAGCGCAGGCGGUUUUUUAAGUCUGAUGUGAAAGCCCUCGGCUUAACCGAGGAAGCGCAUCGGAAACUGGGAAACUUGAGUGCAGAAGAGGACAGUGGAACUCCAUGUGUAGCGGUGAAAUGCGUAGAUAUAUGGAAGAACACCAGUGGCGAAGGCGGCUGUCUGGUCUGUAACUGACGCUGAGGCUCGAAAGCAUGGGUAGCGAACAGGAUUAGAUACCCUGGUAGUCCAUGCCGUAAACGAUGAAUGCUAGGUGUUGGAGGGUUUCCGCCCUUCAGUGCCGCAGCUAACGCAUUAAGCAUUCCGCCUGGGGAGUACGACCGCAAGGUUGAAACUCAAAGGAAUUGACGGGGGCCCGCACAAGCGGUGGAGCAUGUGGUUUAAUUCGAAGCAACGCGAAGAACCUUACCAGGUCUUGACAUCUUUUGAUCACCUGAGAGAUCAGGUUUCCCCUUCGGGGGCAAAAUGACAGGUGG